rnacentral:tRNA from 1 species
UCCCUGGUGGUCCAGUGGUUAAGACUCUGCACUUCCACUGCGGGGGUGGGGGGGAGGCCGCGGGGCGGGUGCAGGUUCAAUCCCUGGUUGGGGAA